rnacentral:rRNA from 1 species
UACGUAGGGGGCUAGCGUUGUCCGGAAUCAUUGGGCGUAAAGAGCGUGUAGGCGGCCCGGUAAGUCCGCUGUGAAAGUCGGGGGCUCAACCCUCGAAUGCCGGUGGAUACUGUCGGGCUAGAGUGCGGAAGAGGCGAGUGGAAUUCCACGUGUAGCGGUGAAAUGCGUAGAGAUGUGGAGGAACACCAGUGGCGAAGGCGACUCUUUGGCCUGUAACUGACGCUGAGGCGCGAAAGCGUGGGGAGCAAACAGG